rnacentral:rRNA from 1 species
UACGUAAGGUCCGAGCGUUGUCCGGAAUCAUUGGGCGUAAAGGGCACGUAGGCGGUCAAGCAAGUUAGAAGUGAAAUCCUAUAGCUCAACUAUAGUAAGCUUUUAAAACUGCUCAUCUUGAGGUAUGGAAGGGAGAGUAGAAUUCCUAGUGUAGCGGUGAAAUGCGCAGAUAUUAGGAGGAAUACCGGUGGCGAAGGCGGCUUCCUGGACAUAAACUGACGCUGAGGUGCGAAAGCGUGGGCAGCAAACAGG